rnacentral:rRNA from 1 species
CAGCACCUCAAGUGGUCAGGAUGAUUAUUGGGCCUAAAGCAUCCGUAGCCGGCGCUGUAAGUUUUCGGUUAAAUCUGUACGCUCAACGUACAGGCUGCCGGGAAUACUGCAGCGCUAGGGAGUGGGAGUGGUAGACGGUACUCGGUAGGAAGGGGUAAAAUCCUUUGAUCUAUUGAUGACCACCUGUGGCGAAGGCGGUCUACCAGAACACGUCCGACGGUGAGGGAUGAAAGCUGGGGGAGCAAACCGGAUUAGAUACCCGAGUAGUCC